CUAUCCCAUGGCUUCUAGAGAAAAAUAAUGAGGGGUGUCACGGGGUAUGACUAUAUAGGUCUUGUAGAGGAGAAACAGUUGCAUCUUUUGCGCAAGGUAUCGAAGGGCGCUAUGUUAAAAAAUCUGAAACUAGAGCUCAAAAUUUGAAAAAAAAAUGUUAAAAACAGGGGGGUUGGCCUAUACCAUGGCUUCUAGAGAAAAAUAAUGAGGGGUGUCACGGGGUAUGACUAUAUAGGUCUUGUAGAGGAGAAACAGGCGCAUCUUUUGCGCAAGGUAUCGAAGGGCGCUAUGUUCAAAAAUCUGAAACUAGAGCUCAAAAUUUGAAAACAAAUUGUUAAUAACAGGGGGGUUGGCCUAUCCCAUGGCUUCUAGAGAAAAUUAAUGAGGGGUGUCACGGGGUAUGACUAUAUAGGUCUUGCAGAGGAGAAACAGUCGCAUCUUUUGCCCAAGGUAUCGAAGGGCGCUAUGUUCAAAAAUCUGAAACUAGAGCUCAAAAUUUGAAAAAAAAUUGUUAAAAACAGGGGGGUUGGCCUAUCCCAUGGCUUCUAGAGAAAAAAAAAUGAGGGGUGUCACGGGGUAUGACUAUAUAGGUCUUGUAGAGGAGAAACAGUCGCAUCUUUUGCGCAAGGUAUCGAAGGGCGCUAUUUUCAAAAAUCUGAAACUAGAGCUCAAAAUUUGAAAAAAAAUUGUUAAAAACAGGGGAGGUUGGCCUAUUCCAUGGCUUCUAGAGAAAAAUAAUGAGGGAUGUCACGGGGUAUGACUAUAUAGGUCUUGUAGAGGAGAAACAGGCGCAUCUUUUGCGCAAGGUAUCGAAGGGCGCUAUGUUCAAAAAUCUGAAACUAGAGCUCAAAUUUUGAAAACAAAUUGUUAAAAACAGGGGGGUUGGCCUAUCCCAUAGCUUCUAGAGAAAAAUAAUGAGGGGUGUCAGGGGGUAUGACUAUAUAGGUCUUGUAGAGGAGAAACAAUAGCAUCUUUUGCGCAAGGUAUCGAAGGGCGCUAUGUUCAAAAAUCUGAAACUAGAGCUCAAAAUUUGAAAACAAAUUGUUAAAAACAGGGGAGGUUGGCCUAUUCCAUGGCUUCUAGAGAAAAAGAAUGAGGGGUGUCACGGGGUAUGACUAUAUAGGUCUUGUAGAGGAGAAACAGUCGCAUCUUUUGCGCAAGGUAUCGAAGGGCGCUAUGUUCAAAAAUCUGAAACUAGAGCUCAAAAUUUGAAAACAAAUUGUUAAAAACAGGGGGGUUGGCCUAUCCCAUGGCUUCUAGAGAAAAAUAAUGAGGGGUGUCACGGGGUAUGACUAUAUAGGUCUUGUAGAGGAGAAACAGUCGCAUCUUUUGCGCAAGGUAUCGAAGGGCGCUAUGUUCAAAAA